UACGUAGGGGGCGAGCGUUGUCCGGAUUUACUGGGGGUAAAGGGCGCGAAGGCGGAUCUGUAAGUCAGAGGUGAAAUCCUGCGGCUUAACCGUAGAACUGCCUUUGAUACUGCAGAUCUUGAGUUCGAAAGAGAGUAGCGGAAUUCCAGGUGUAGUGGUGAAAUACGUAGAUAUCUGGAAGAACACCAGUGGCGAAGGCGGCUACUUGGUUCGCAACUGACGCUGAGGCGCGAAAGCGUGGGGAGCAAACAGG
rnacentral:rRNA from 1 species